UAUAUGGGGUCCGAUCAAACUGCAUCCAUUAUGUAUAAAGAUAAUCGACACACCCGAGUUUCAACGACUGAGAUUUGUAAAACAACUUGGCGGCUGUUCCUUUGUCUAUCCUGGCGCAUGUCACACACGAUUCGAACACUCAAUUGGAACAUCUCAUCUAGCAGGACUUCUUGUUCGAACGCUUAUAGAUGAAGAUAACAUGAAUCCAGAUUAUGGUAUCAAUAUAGACGAUAAAGAUAUUCUUUGUGUGGAGAUUGCGGGGCUUUGUCAUGAUUUAGGUCAUGGGGCAUUCUCGCACUUGUUUGAAUCGAUGUUUAUCCCAAAGAUUGAUGAAGAUUCACAU